rnacentral:lncRNA from 1 species
CCUCUAACCUUUUCGUUGAACUAGAACAAUACUUUUAAAGUAUGUUUAGUAUAUUGUACUUGUGAUAUCGUUGUUAAUAAUACCUAUGCUCUACCCCAAAUUGCGAAACAUGUUGAGAACCUUGGGGAAGUAGAAAAUUUUCAGAAGAUCUUGAAAGUUAAAGUUAGCAUAUUUUGCUGUUUUUGUAUAAUGUUCUUCAAGAUAUGAGAAUUAUAAAUGAAAAAGAAAUGAAUGCUUUGAUAGUACAAGAACUGAAUUCUUGUUGAAAUAUGAAAUGUUUAAAACUGUUAUUGUUGCAAAAAUGAUUGGUGAGCGUAAGAGGCCGAGUGACGCCGGUCCAGCGUACUUCAGGUGGCGUAAGAGGCUAGUUUCACUAGUCCAGCGUAAAAAGGCCAAAGAGUUGCCUAAUUGGGUGCCCAAUUGAUGUCCAGAGGGACUUUAUGUCCGGUAUGGGGACAUACGUGGCUGAUCACCCGUAUGGUCCAGAAGCGUCGAGUAAGGAUCCAAUCAUAAUGCUUAUUUUAAAUUUUAUGAAAAGAAUGUUUAUUUGGAAAAAGCUCUGAUGCGAUGACAGGAAAGUUUUUUUUUAGGAGAUUAUUUUGUGAAGUAACUUGAGUUUAUUGUGAAACUCCAAAUAAUUUUUAGACAAAUAAUUUCUUUUAAACCUUUGGAAUUUACUAAAACCAAAUAAAUUUAUACUCCUCUCUGUCUUUUAUUUUUCAUAAUCACAUGAGCUUAAUCUCUUUUCCUAUAUUAGAUUGGUUACUUGCUGAGCUUGUUUGGCUCAUAUUUUCUUGUCUAACCCUGACAGCUAGGUGUGAAGAUCGUGUGAACCAAGCCUACCACCAGCAAGAAUAGUGCUUAGCAGUGAGACUGAUAAUGUUUUGUUGUCUCGAAUAGAUAGUACGUGAGAACAUUAAGUAGUAAGCUGGAAUUCUGUAAGGAUUAAUUCAUGUAAAUUAUUCAGGUUAUAACUGUAACUCUAUACCGGAGUUAUGUUUUUAAUUUGUUCUAGAAUUGUGAUAAUAUUUAGUUUGCUUGUUUCAUACCAUAACCUGUGAUAGGUCCAGGGAGUAUUGGGGUCUGAAUAUUAUAUUCAUGUUUGAAUUAAUUUAGUUAUGUGACUCCCCGAUCUAGGCCCCAGAUUGGGAGGGUGUCACAAGUUGGUAUCAGAGCUACAGGUUUUGGUCACUGAAACAAGCCAGGGUUAAUCAAAUAGAUAAGGUUUAUAAAGAGUGGAUAAUAGGAAUGAAACUCAUAUAGGGUUAUGUUCGAUUUGUGGUUAUGGACUCGACAUUUAGGAAGAUGGAGUGACUGUAGAGAUUCUUUUGAAUUUUGAUUAGUGUAGUUGCUAAGAGUGAAAAGAAAAACUGGGUUACAUGACCCGUGCUAGGCGGUAAGUCAGAGCGAGUGUUGUAGAAGAGAUAGCUAGUAGGCAGAUGUGUAAGGGGCCUAUAGCCACUGACCCGCUAAUUAAGGCCUUUAAAUUUAUGAGUUCAGGGACAUGGAUGUUGACCCGGUUAAGAGCUAUAUGAAUGUUGAUUUAUUCAGUUAUAGAUUUCUUCAUAUGAUUGUUGUAUAAUCGCUCAAGUAAUGAUUGUUUUAAUACCUAUGCAUAAUACCUAUGUUCCCCACUUAUUUGUGAAUCCUUGUAGCGCGAUAGGUUCCUAUAAGAAAAAAGAGAGAAUGUAUUCAAUGAAAAAAAAAAAAAAAAAAGAUAAGGUGGGAGUUAAUGAAGUGUUUGAGAGCAACUAGUAAUAUAUGUGGGAUCAAUAAAAGAAAGUCUGAUGUUAUGUUGGUAUAUGGGUAUUGUCUAAUAAAUCUUUGUUGUUCAGAAAGAUGUCAGACUCAACUAUUCCCCCUGCAACCACAGUCGAAAGAAAUGCUGAGAAUCCGGAGGGUCAGAUUCGUGCAGACCCUACAAUGGCUCAAAUUUUACAAAUACUCCAACAGCAAACUGCAGUUAUAGCACAACAACAAAAACCACCUCAGUCAGGAGUGACUUUUAAAUCCUUUCAAGCUGUACACCCUCCGGAAUUCAAAGGUACUGCUGAUCCUAUAGAAGCCAAGGCAUGGAUUAAGGAGAUAGAGAAAGCGUUUGCCUUAGUUAAGGUAGGUGAAGAUCAGAAGACAGAAUUUGCAAGUUAUUUCUUGAAGACGGAAGCCAAUUAUUGGUGGGAAUCCACGAGAGUUUUAGAAGGUGAGGGUAUAAUCACAUGGCAGAGAUUUACAGAAUUAUUUCUUGAGAAAUAUUUCCCUAGUUACAUGCAAGAUCAAAUGGAGAUCAAGUUUCUGGAAUUAAAGCAAGACGAUAUGAGCGUAGCUGAGUAUGAGACCAAGUUUUCUGAAUUGGCUCGAUUUGUCCCUGAGUACAUUAAUACUGAUGCUAAAAAGGCAAAAAGGUUCCAGCAAGGUCUAAGGUCUUGGAUCCGAGGUAAGAUUGCAGUACUUGAGCUUCAGAGUUAUGCAGCGGUAGUUCAAAAAGCAAUGAUCAUAGAAGGGGAAAGCGAAUUGUCUCAAAAAGAGAGAGACAUGAGAAAAAGGAAGAAUGAGGAAGUGGGAGGAGGUUCAAGUAAGAGGAAUUUUCAAAACAAGUUUAACCGGAAGUUCGAAGACCAGAGUAGGGGAAAUCUGAAACCUAAAGAGGGAAAUGGAGGGCAAGGAACUCGAUAUCAACCAUCUACCCAACAAAGACCAGUAAGGCCUCCAUUACCUGAAUGUGGAACUUGUGGGAAGAAGCAUCCGGGCGUUUGUAAUAAGCCCAAUAUCACCUGUUACAAAUGCAACAAGAAGGGGCAUUAUGCCAAAGAGUGUACCAAUCAGAGGAUAGGAGUUACUUGUUAUAAGUGUGGGAAGCCGGGCCAUGUUGCUCGGGAAUGUAAGGAGUCUGCUCAAGCUUCAAAUGUUCUUAGGAUUACUGGACCACCAACUCAAGCUCCACCUACUCAGCCCAAAGCCAGAACUUUCAACAUGACUAUGCAAGAUGCCAUACAAGACGCAGAUGUGGUGGCAGGUACGCUCCCUAUAAAUUCAGUUAAAGCAAAAGUGUUAAUUGAUUCCGGGGCUACCAAAUCUUUUAUUUCUGAAGAGUUUGUGAAUAAAUUGCAAUGUGAAACCCAACCCCUUAAACAACCUUUAGUAAUAGAGGUAGCAAAUNGGAAAACAAUNAAUUGUAAGGAAAAGAAAGUCACAUUGAAUUUAGAAGGUGAUAGGGCAGUUAUGUUUCGGGGAAAGAAGCAAGUCAAGAAAUUUCUCACUAUUGUGCAAGCUAAGAGAUUGUUAAGACAAGGAUGCGAGGCUUAUUUAGCCCACGUGAUAGAUGUAAACCAAAAUUCACCAAAACUCGAAGAUAUACCAAUAGUGAAUGAGUUUUCCGAUGUAUUCCCAGAUGAAUUACCAGGAUUACCCCCAGAUCGGGAGAUUGAGUUCACUAUUGAUUUAGCACCAGGGACCGAGCCAGUCUCAAGGGCCCCCUAUAGGAUGGCUCCUGUAGAAAUGAAAGAGUUAGCGAAACAGUUGCAAGAGUUGCUAGAUAAAGGAGUAAUCAGGCCUAGUGUGUCUCCAUGGGGAGCACCAGUUUUGUUUGUAAAAAAGAAAGAUGGGAGUAUGAGGUUGUGCAUUGAUUAUCGAGAGCUUAAUAAACUAACCAUCAAGAAUAGAUACCCAUUACCUAGGAUUGAUGAUUUGUUUGACCAACUUAAAGGAGCUACUUGUUUCUCUAAGAUUGACCUAAGGUCGGGAUAUCACCAGCUCAAGAUUAAACCUGAAGAUAUACCAAAGACUGCUUUUCGCACUAGAUAUGGGCAUUAUGAAUUCUUAGUUAUGGCUUUUGGAUUGACCAAUGCCCCUGCUGCAUUUAUGGAUCUAAUGAAUAGAGUUUUUAAGAAAUACCUUGAUAAAUUUGUGAUUGUCUUUAUUGAUGAUAUUCUUAUCUAUUCAAAAACAAAAGAAGAGCAUACAGAACAUUUAAGGAUGGCUCUAGAAACUCUUAGGAAAGAAAAGUUGUAUGCGAAGUUCUCAAAGUGUGAAUUUUGGUUAGAGGAAGUGCAAUUUCUAGGUCAUAUCGUUAGCAGUGAAGGAAUAAAAGUAGAUCCAGCUAAGAUAGAAGCGGUAAUGAAAUGGGAAAGGCCUAAGACCCCAACUGAAGUGAGGAGUUUCCUAGGUUUGGCGGGAUACUAUAGAAGAUUUGUACAAGAUUUUUCAAGUAUAGCAACCCCUUUAACUAAGUUGACAAGAAAGAAUGAGAAGUUUGAAUGGGAUGAUGAGUGUGAAAAGAGUUUUCAGGAAUUGAAGAGGAGAUUGGUAUCUGCACCAGUGUUAGUGCAACCUGAUGACCAAGGAAAUUUUGUAAUAUAUAGUGACGCUUCUCAUAAGGGAUUAGGGUGUGUGCUGAUGCAACAUGGAAAAGUAAUCGCAUACGCUUCUAGACAGUUAAAACCUCACGAGCAGAGAUAUCCAACUCAUGAUUUAGAACUUGCAGCAAUCGUAUUUGCUUUGAAGAUUUGGAGGCAUUACUUGUACGGAGAAAAGUGCGAGAUCUAUACGGAUCAUAAAAGUUUAAAAUAUAUUUUCACCCAAAAGGAACUUAACAUGCGUCAAAGACGGUGGCUGGAGUUGAUAAAAGAUUAUGAUUGCACGAUAAAUUAUCACCCAGGGAAGGCGAAUGUCGUAGCAGAUGCUCUAAGCAGAAAGGAGAGAUUAAAUUUAUUAACUUCGGUAGAAGACCUAAGAAAAGAAUUGGAAGGGUUGGAGAUAGAAAUAUGCAUUCCCGAGGAUACAAGCCAGAAAGCUUAUGUACUGAUGUUUCAACCAGAAUUGAUAGAGAAGGUUAGGAGAUGUCAAGAGUAUAUGCUUGAAAGCGAAAGAGAAAAGUUGUCAGGAGAAGAACUUCAAACUCAUAAGGAUGAUAAAGGAAUAUUACGAUUUUCUUCUCGAAUUUGGAUCCCCAAUGUGAGCGAGUUAAAGGAUGAAAUUUUACGCGAAGCACACAGUUCAAGUUAUUCUUUACAUCCUGGAAGUACAAAGAUGUAUAAAGAUUUGAAACAAAAUUUUUGGUGGCCAGGGAUGAAGAAAGAUAUUGCAGACUGGGUAAACAAAUGUUAUACUUGUCAGAAGGUAAAGGCUGAACACCAACGUCCAAGUGGAUUGCUACAACCACUAGAAAUUCCAGAAUGGAAAUGGGAACAUUUGGCUAUGGAUUUUGUAGUGGGAUUACCGAAGACUCGGGCUAAUCAUGAUGCCAUCUGGGUAGUAAUUGAUAGAUUGACGAAAUCAGCUCAUUUUCUGCCAAUAAAUGAAAGGUACUCCUUAGAGAAGUUAGUUCAAUUGUACUUGAAUGAGAUUGUGAUGCGACAUGGUGUUCCUGUAUCGAUAGUAUCAGAUAGAGAUCCUAGAUUCAACUCGAGAUUUUGGAGGAGAUUCCAAGAAUGUUUGGGCACUAAACUUAAGAUGAGCACCGCCUAUCACCCGCAGACUGAUGGUCAAAGUGAAAGAACAAUUCAAACGAUAGAAGAUAUGCUUAGAGUUUGUGCUAUAGAUUUUAAGGGAAGUUGGGAUGAACAUUUACCUUUGGUAGAGUUUUCAUACAAUAAUAGCUAUCAUGCAAGUAUUGGAAUGCCACCGUAUGAAGCUUUAUAUGGAAGAAAAUGUAGAUCCCCGUUGUAUUGGGAUGAGGUUGGGGAGCGAAAGAUUAUGGGUCCAGAAUUAAUUCAACAAACAAAAGAGAAAAUAGAACUUAUUCGAAAACGAUUAGUUGCUGCCCAGGAUCGACAAAAGAAGUAUGCAGAUCAGCAUAGGAAGGAUAGGGAAUUUGAGCCUGGAGAGGCAGUGUUGGUUAAAAUCUCACCUUGGAAAGGAUUAUCCAGAUUUAAUAAGAAAGGAAAGUUGAAUCCUAGAUAUAUAGGACCGUUUGAGGUUUUGAACCGAGUAGGAAAGGUUGCUUAUGAGUUAGCUCUACCACCCCAUAUGCAACACAUUCAUAAUGUAUUCCAUGUGUCGAUGCUUAGAAAGUAUACUCCUGAUUCGAGUCAUGUGAUAGAGUAUGAACCUAUAGAGAUCCAGCCAGAUUUAUCAUAUGUUGAGCAACCAGUCAAGAUUCUGGAUCGAAAAGAAAAAGUGUUGAGAAACAAGACGAUGGCUCUAGUUAGAGUUUUGUGGAGGAAUCCCAGAGUUGAAGAGUCAACUUGGGAGUUAGAAAGUGAAAUACGUGAAAAGUACCCUCAUUUGUUCACUUAGGAUCUGAUUCUGGGGACAGAAUCCUUUAAGGGGGGGAGAUUGUAAUAUCCGGGAAAUUCGGAUUUAUAAAUUAUUAUUAUAUUAAUAAAUUAUUAUUUGUUAUUCUUGUUGAUGAGUUUUUGAAUUAAUCAUGUGUGGAUUAUAAUUGGCUACGUGUUUAUGUGCUAAUUUAUUUUGAGCUACAAAUAGUUUUUCUGAUAAAAUAAUUUUAACCACAUUUAUUUGCAAAAUUCAUAAAUAGAUAUUUAAUAAUUGUUUUUGAAUAAUAUUAAUAAUAGAAUAUCACAAAAUUAUUGGGGAGGAUGAAAAUAUUAUUUUGUAUAAUUUUGUUAUGAAAGAAACUAUUUUAUAAAGUAAAUUGUAUUUAAAUCAAUUUUAUUCUCUAAAAAGCAGCAUUGUGAAAUUACCAUAUCGCCCCUGUUUUUUUUUAUAAAAAGGGCCAGGCCCUCCCCAUUUCUUCUUCACGCACGCACGCAAGCUGUCUUCUCUCUUCGUUGUUUUCUUUCGGUAAUUCAUUUCUCCUUGACAUACAAACCAUUCUCCUUCUGUAUUAGCAAUUCAAGGCCGUAAAACUAUUACACGACCUCUGAAUUUUGCUCACCCUGCGUGUAUACAUACAAGGUUGUAUGUAUAUAUGAAAAACUAGGGUUUGAGUAAAAAGGGGUUUCGGGAUUUUGGGUAUUAUAAUUGUGAUUAAUGAUCGAUUAUGUGAGUUGGUACUUGAUUUAGGCGAGUUUCGUGGCUGGACACCCCUGUGGGCACCGCCUGGAAACUACCACCGCCGGCGAUGAGCUCGGCGAGCCGGCGGAACACGGCAAUGAUGAUACUUGAGCCCUGAUAUUUAAUUAGUUCAUGUGCAAGAGUAAAUUGUGUACUUGUGAAUUGUUUAGAGACUUUUAGAUAUUAAUAAUUGUUUCUUGGAUUGUAUGGUUUGAUUUCUUUUGAGGUGUGCCACUGCAAUUUGAAGUUAUAAGCUUGAUGUGUAAUUUAUUUUUGUGUGUGUAAUGAUUCUGGAUUCUAAAUGUUCAUCGGAAUUUUAAGUGUAUAUGUAAGCGGCUAUGAUAUAGAUAUUGAGCCGAAAAGAAGUGAUCAUUUGUGGAUUUUAAUUAUUAUUACUUAUGUUAAUCGGAUUGGAUAGUAACUAUGUGUUGUAUACAGUUUGCGAAUAUUGAUGUUGGGUCGGUUUCAUUCCGACGGGUAGCACUAUUUAUAGAGGAGGUGCUGCUGAAAUUUAGUCAGAAUAAUAAUAAUAAUAAAUAAAUAAAUAAUAAUAAAAUGAAUUAUUCUUGGUAUAUGUUGAUAUUCUGUGCACACCUCACUUAUGUGUUAUGUAUAAUGACUGAUACAUGUAUUUGGGUAGUAGACUAAUUAAGAAGAACUCUAGCUUAAUAGAUUAUAAAGAUAUAAUUAAAUAUAUUUUUAUGUGACAUGUAGCGUGCUAUAAUUAUAUAUGCGUGUAUUUAAAUAUCUUAACUUGGUACCUGUUAUGUGAUAUAUGUUUGUAAAUUCUAUGUAUGUAUAUAUGAAUAUAAACUUAAUGAGGGAUUAAUUGUCGAAAGGGUAGAUAGUAAUUAGAGUUAGACGUUCAAAUGGACGUCGAGCCUUAAUGAGGGUACUGAAAUAGUGUUUCUCGUGAUUGUAGAUACGAGUAAAGCAAAAGUAGUCGGAGGUAGUAAAGGAAAGGAAGUUAAAACUGAGGACUAGUGGCACAAAAGCUGCAUUGUUCAGGCAAGUAACCCUCCUCAACCUCUAACCUUUUCGUUGAACUAGAACAAUACUUUUAAAGUAUGUUUAGUAUAUUGUACUUGUGAUAUCGUUGUUAAUAAUACCUAUGCUCUACCCCAAAUUGCGAAACAUGUUGAGAACCUUGGGGAAGUAGAAAAUUUUCAGAAGAUCUUGAAAGUUAAAGUUAGCAUAUUUUGCUGUUUUUGUAUAAUGUUCUUCAAGAUAUGAGAAUUAUAAAUGAAAAAGAAAUGAAUGCUUUGAUAGUACAAGAACUGAAUUCUUGUUGAAAUAUGAAAUGUUUAAAACUGUUAUUGUUGCAAAAAUGAUUGGUGAGCGUAAGAGGCCGAGUGACGCCGGUCCAGCGUACUUCAGGUGGCGUAAGAGGCUAGUUUCACUAGUCCAGCGUAAAA